GCCGGUGCUAUUCUGUCGGUAACGUCAAGAUUGCAACGUAUUAGGUUACAACCCUUCCUCCCAACUUAAAGUGCUUUACAAUCCGAAGACCUUCUUCACACACGCGGCAUGGCUGGAUCAGGCUUUCGCCCAUUGUCCAAUAUUCCCCACUGCUGCCUCCCGUAGGAGUCUGGACCGUGUCUCAGUUCCAGUGUGACUGAUCAUCCUCUCAGACCAGUUACGGAUCGUCGCCUUGGUGAGCCAUUACCUCACCAACUAGCUAAUCCGACCUAGGCUCAUCUGAUAGCGCAAGGCCCGAAGGUCCCCUGCUUUCUCCCGUAGGACGUAUGCGGUAUUAGCGUCCGUUUCCGAGCGUUAUCCCCCACUACCAGGCAGAUUCCUAGGCAUUACUCACCCGUCCGCCGCUCUCAAGAGAAGCAAGCUUCUCUCUACCGCUCGACUUGCAUGUGUUAGGCCUGCCGCCAGCGUUCA
rnacentral:rRNA from 1 species